rnacentral:rRNA from 1 species
GACGUAGGGCGCGAGCGUUGUCCGGAUUUACUGGGCGUAAAGCGCGUGUAGGCGGCUUUGCAAGUCGGAUGUGAAAGCCCACGGCUCAACCGUGGAAGUGCAUCCGAAACUGCAUGGCUCGAGUCUCGGAGAGGAAGGUGGAAUGCUUGGUGUAGAGGUGAAAUUCGUAGAUAUCAAGCAGAACACCUGCGGCGAAGGCGGCCUUCUGGACGAUGACUGACGCUGAGACGCGAAAGCGUGGGGAGCAAACAGG